GGUCUAUGAGUGGUUCGACCAUAGUGCUAAAUUUAAUUUAAUUUUUAAUUUUUUUCUGUUCCCACAUCCCCGAUUUCAAGGAAGAAAAGCGAUUUUGUUUCCCACCAAGUUUCGCCGAAAAGGCAUGCAUCCGCGCGCUUAAAUAUAGUUCGGAGGGAACUUGCAAAGACAAAGAGGCGCGAAACACGUCCCUCGAAAAGAGCUCUCCAUAUUUAGAAACUUAUCAGUUCUCGCCAGCGCGGUUUCUCUCCGUCUCUCUGGUUAUCUCAUCGCCGAACUCUCGGAGCUUCGUCGAUGUUUACUUCGGAUUCUUAUGAUUUAAGCCGGAUCAUUCACAGGAAACAUUGAACAUAAAAAAUGUACGGAUUGCUGGAUAUCUUUUUGGAGAUUUUUUCUCCCUCGUUUAAUUAAUGUGCAUUAUGUGCUUCAUCUAUGGUCCGGCUCCUGGGAGCUAGUGUGCCUACCUUGUCUUAACAGUGGAUCUACUUCGAUGACAUUUUUUACACUGCAAUAGAUUUGACUGAACAUUAAGAAUACGUAUGGGUUUACCGUGUCAUGAUCCAAUACAAGAUUGCCAUCUGGGAUGUAAGCUUGAAGGAUACUGAAUGUAUCUGAACUCAGAAGUCAGUUGACCUUUUCUCCAACUUGCAGCUCUCGGUGGUAAACUAGAUCCUGUCUCAUUUGUGAGAUGGAACUUUCAACUUUUGACCUUUCAUAUACAGAGUGAGUAAGCACAAAAAAAGUUAGAACUUACUGGAAGAACAUGUAGACGCAGGGAAGAUUGAAGAAUGUGCUCUGUUUCGAGCAUGAAUUGAGAAUAAUCAUAAGAAUAUCAAUAGGGUAGAGACUACAUCUCACUUAUGGAUUCUAAAAUUUCAAUUUGGUGAUUUUUUCCUCUGCCGCUUGGCUAACAUGAAGUGAUUGCAUUUCACGGUAGACCAAGAAUAAUUAAAAAUCUAGAACAAUAGGUUAGUUGAAAAUCUUCUUUAGCAGUCAGUUAUCCUUUCUGUUGCUCUUGCCCUUACCUUCUGCCUUUUGCAUAAAAAGUUGGCUAUUCUGUAUUUCCAUUUUUCAUCUUGGCUAGCUUGCUUGCUGGGAAGUGCAGUCUAGCAAUCAGAGGUCGGGGUGCUCGGGUUUUCUGAUCAAAUCCUCUUACACAAACAAACCCUGCAAUAUUACUCAAAAUUCAGGUCCGGAUGAUCAGAAGCUUGGUACAUCAGGGAAUGAAUACCAAUUAUCAAGGUGAUGGAAUGAAUUCCUUUGGAUGUUUCUUCUAAAUAAUGAUACCAAUUAGCAUGUAGACAAGAUCAUGUUACGAGGGCCAGAUAAAGAAACUCAUUGGUUGGUGCGGUGUGCGGAAGUCCUAUCUCUGGUGUCCUAGAUCUCAUUGGAUUUCUUAAUUUAUGAAAACUCUCAGCUGUGAUUUCUCUUUAUUUAGGAACAUUCCGGUAAAAUGAAAAGCAGAGGCAAGGAAAUACUCAAAUCGGAGGGAGUUACAUAAAGACAUCUGCAAUUUGCACAAAUGGAGCAGCAUCGACCAUUUAUCUACCAUAUUUACUGGAAGUUAUUUGGACCCGUAAAUAAGAUUACACCAAACAACAUGCUUGGUAAAGAUCAUCUUUACAAGGUAGACCUUGGCCUCUUUUGUUAUAUCAAAGAAUUCUCAAAAUUAAAAAAAAAAAAAAGAAACGGUCAUAACUACUAGUUUUUAUUUAUUAUUUAUUUUCUAUCAAAAUUUACUUUUUUUAUAAAAAAAAAUUGAACCAUAAAAGAGUUAAUAUAUGUUUUCUAAGUCCAAAAAGAAAAAAAAAAGGGAUAAAAAAUCCCCAUUAAAUUUUGUUGACAUGCUUCAGCGGGUCUUUCCGACGGUAUCUGUGAAUACCGUUCAAGCCUCCCAUUUACUUUGAAGCAGAUUUAAUUUGCAUCAUAGAAAAAAUAAAAACAAAAAUUAAAGCUCUUUAUUUCGGGGAAGUUAACCUUGUUGAUUAUAAGGUUAAUUGGUCUUAGUUACUAAAAUAAAAACUAGUUAAUCUAUUUUAUUAUUUUUUAUAUAUGUAUAUAUUAAUAGUUGGCUCUCUAUAGAUUCUUCGUGGAAGUUUGCGGUAUGUUUUAGAUAAUAUUGUUAAAAUCAGGGUGGAUUGGAAGCUUAAGCCUGGUGAAACAUUGAUAGCAUCCUUUUGUACAGUAAGCUUGAAUUGAGGUAAGGUAAUGUAUAUGUUUCACCUUAAUUACGUUUCUCUAAAAUUAAAAUGAACUAAAUGAAGAAAUGUUUGUCUUUGUACAUAUAUACAAAAGAUGGGGUUUUCUGCAUAAUUUUAAAAGACCAUCAAGCAUGGUGGCUAAAGCAAAGCUAUCAGGGGUGGAAAUCAGAACUGUUUGUGGAACUGGUUGGGUGUGUUUUUUUAUAAUUUAUUUUCUUAAAACAGUUUUGUAAACUGAUUUAUUGAAGAAUGAUUUUCUUAAUCUAUUUCUUAAUAUUUUCUAAAGAAUUAUUUAUUUAAUAAAUAUUUAAUGUGUGGAUCUCACAUAAUUCUUAAAGCUCUUUAUGUAGAAAGCAAUAAAUAUUCCACAAUAAAUAGUAGUAUAGAAAAUUUUUUAUACUAUCAUUGUAUUUAAAGUUUCCACGUGUACACAUUCAUGUCAAGCCAUCUUUGUUGAAACUUGAAUCAUGAAUAGACAGAAAUAUUAGUAAAUCAUGACAUGAUAGUUUUUAUAAAGAAAAUUUUUAAUAUGAUUUUUUAAUUUUAAUAAAUUAUUUCAAUGAUAUACAUACAUUAUAUAUAUAUAAUGUAUGUAUAUAAAUUUACUUGAAAGUAAUUUUUGAAACAAAAUAAUUGAAAUUUCCAUAUGUUUUAUGAGUUAGAGUUGUAAGUAGAAUUAUUAAUUGUUAUUUUGAUUUUCUUAUAAAAAAAUUUAUGAUUAGUUUUGUUACCUUUUGAUAACAUGAUAUAUUUUUAAAAUCAACAUUUAAAUCAUAGCUUGAUAUUUUGAAACUAAAAACACUUUUUUCGAGAAAGCUAAAAAUUUUUAACAAAAGAGUGCAAACUAUACAAAACGUUGGUAAGAGUUUUUACCAAACUAUUUCUUUUUAUAAAAUGAAAAAAUCAAAGCUAGAAGUGUUAAUCUUUAAGAUUCUCUUUUCGUUUUUUGUUUUAAAGUUUAUUUAAAUUUUGAAAACUGAAAGUGAAACUAAACAAAAGGUGUAACCCAUUUUAAAAAAAUUGUAAAAUAAGAUUUAGAAAAUGUCAAAAUGAAGUGGGAGGGGGCAAGGCUUACCAAAAUCGACCUUGUUGAUAAUCGCAAUGGGAAAGUAUCUUGGCCAAAGCUCGAGUGAAAAAUAUAUAUACAAGUUACAUGCUAUAUAAUAUACACGAAAGGAAAAAAAAUGUUCAUUUUUCAUCAAAAAAAAAAAAAAAAAAACAGGAGCUAAAAUAAUUAGGUCGAAAUGAGUAAAAACACAUUUUUGUCAAAUAGUUCUUAUAGUAUUGUAUAAUAAAGGACUAGAUGUAGAUCGAAAUCAUGGGUAUAUAAUAUCUACGCAAAUGACGACCAAAUUUUCUGUUUAGAAAUAAAGUUAACAAAUACUUAUUUUUAUUUUAAUAGUAUAUACCAACCUAUUUUUUGGGUAAAAAUAUUGACCUAAAAAGGGAAAAGGAAAGAAUUAUCGGUGACAAUUGCAAUCUGUCUGUAAACUUUUUUGUGAACCAAGUCUUGCGGUUGUUUACAAUUACUAAUUUUAAAAUGUAUGAAAAUAAAUAAACAUUAUAAAUUCAAAUUUUAAAUUUUGAAUAAAUGGCUGUAUCAUCACGAAUGAUUGAAGCUGUGCCCAUUUCAGGGGUGUUUCAUUAAGCCAAGUUUUGAAAACUAAAAUUUUAAAACCUACUUUGUAAAUUUUGAGAAAACAUGUACAAUUUUCAAAAAAAUUUAAAUGAAAUGCAGAGCAAAUAUAGAUUAUUUCAGGCCAAUGCAUGGGUAUGGUGAUAAAAUUUUGCUAGUUAACGGUCUAUAUUGGGGACGUAUUGCACACAGCUUUUAUAUUAAGUUAAAGGGCCCAGUUACUUUGGUGGAUUUUCUGUUUUAAUAUCUCACUGGGUUAAAAAAUUUUGGCGACCGCAACGUAGAACCCUAUGCAAGAAAAUUUGGUAAAUGAAGGAAAUACAUA